rnacentral:SRP_RNA from 1 species
UAUGCCCCGGGCGACGUCACUCCCGCCAACUCCGCCAGGACCGGAAGGUAGCAACGGUAACGGGAUACGGGUGUCCGGGGCACUUUU